ACUUACUAAUGUCAUCUGAUUAAUUGUUUUCUGGCUGUUUUGUAGUCUCCUAUUCCUUUCUUACUGUCUUCCUCUGUGAAUUGAUGAUUUUUCAUAGUGGUAUGCUUUGAUUCCCUUCUCUUUAUCUUUUGUGUAUCUACUGUUGGUUUUUGCUUUGUGAUUAAUAUGAGGCUUACAUAAAACAUCUUACAGAUAUAACUGAGUUUUUAAAGUUGAUAUCAGCAUUUUAAGCUGAUAAAAACUUACUUUGAUUGCAUACAAAAACUUUACUCUUUCACUCCCCCCUCCGCCAGAGAAGUGAUAGUCUUUAGCAGUAGGUUGGUGUUAAUCUGGGAGAGUAGGGUGAGGAGAUAUGAUGAAAGUUGGAGAUGCUGGAGUGGAUAAAACCUGUAUGCCCCCCAGGGACAGUACACUAACCAAAGUAAAGUUCCCCCCAAGAGUAAGAGGCCCUGGGUCCUAUUAGUGCCACCUGGAACUCUGGGGGCAGGCAGCCUUGCAUUGGCACAUGUUUCUCUUAGCACAUGGGCAAAAGAACUGGAGACAACAGUAGCUAUGAAGGGCAUUAGAGCAGGCAGAGUGCUGCUGACAGCCCGUAGUCUUUCCUGAAGUCUCAUAAGGUGCUACCCUUCCCUUUGCUCUUGCUCUUCUCUGAGCCCACAAGAAGGACAGGGAAGAGGUGGAUGGGGGUGAAAAGAUGAUGAUCCUGGGCAUUAGGAUGAGGAGGCUGCAGAGGGCAGAACUGUAUAGAUCUAAAAGUUUUUCUAGGAUUGCAGACAACUUCACACACACACAAGAGGGGCAAAGGAGAUAGAGCCAAAGACACUCAGGGACUAGGGGUGAGUUCCACCCGGAGCAAGAGGUUUCCAGAGGAUUGAGACCACAGAGACUAAAAUCAGCCACUUCUUGCCCCAAAGAUUCAUCAUGGCAGUUGCCCAUACCCCUGGGGGUUUAGAAUCAGCCCCAUGAAGGAAGAGAGUGAAAGAACUUUGAGAGGGUGAAAACUCUUGAAUGGACUGUAUUUUAAACUCAUAACUAAAUCCUGGAUUCAAUUUUCUGCUCUCAAUUGGAAAUGAGGGCUCUGAAUUUAAAAUCAAAAAGGUUAAAUUGAGUUGAGAUAGGGUGACCAACUGUUCCAAUUUGUUCUAUGACGUGAGACUUUUCACUGCUAAAACCUGCAAAAUCUUUGGCAAACCAAGAUGGUUGGUCACUUCAGUUAUAAAUAUAAUGAAAGUGACAUUUUUGCAUUCCCAAGUUUGUGACUCUGAAAUUCAUACCCACUGACAUUUAAAAAGGCCAGUCCUGAAGUCUCCAAUCUGGGGGGAUUCCCACAUACACACUAGAGUGGACACUGAUGCAGCCACCCAGAUCCCUCUUUAAGGAAGGCAUUAUUGCCCCAGCAGUUGGGAGUGCUGUUGGUGGACAGCCUCAGCUGUCAGUCCUAUAGAGUUUGCCUCAGCUGGGAAGCCACCUUGCCCAAUUCAGGCCACUUCCUGUAGCUGCCACCAUCCAAUGACUGAUUCAUGCAGGAGUAUAAAGGCCAGCCACCUCCUCCCAGCUCAGGACAAAAGGGCCAUUCUAGCUCUAUAGAUUCCCCGUGAGGUGGGUUGAGGCUAUAGUUUGACCUGCAUUGCAGACCACCGUCUCCCUCUGCCCAAUCCUGCUUCCUUCCUCUCCUUACCACAGGCGUUAAUGCCAAGGGUACUCUCUAAUAAACAGUCUACAUACUAAGCUCUGUCUCAGAGUCUGCUUCUUGGAGAACCCAACCUUAACCUAAAUCAAUGCCUUUCUUCUGAUUUGCUGUCUGUUGCCUGAGACCAUCUCACAAAGACAUGUAAGUCAUGGGAGACUCACUGGCUGAGCCUGAGGAAAACUGGAGAAGUGGUUUGCCCUAGGGGCUGUCUAAGGAACUGUCUUUUUUUAUUCUGAAAGCUUUUCAGGACAAGAAAAUAUGUCAUAGUAGGUACACUAUAAAUUUAUUGGGUGAGUGAAUGACCAGGGCAGGAUCAGCUUCAUGCACAUAUGACCUGUACAGUUGUACAGGGCCCCAUCUGUCUCAGAAGGGCACCACAGUUGGUUUAAUGCUCUGCUAUCAGGGACUUGAACAUCUUAAUAAUUUUUCAAGAAGAGGCCUUGCAUUUUCAUUGUGCCGUGGGCCCUGCAAAUUAUGUAGCUAGGCCUGGGCCUGGGUCCCCCAAGAACUAACUUAUCCUCAGUUCCCCCAGGAUUCUCCCUCACCAUAAGGGAGUGGCAGGAAAGCAGAGAGCAAGUCAACAGUAUUCUUAGAACGACUCUCAGGGUGGCCCUAGAACCACAUUCCCAAACCUCAUUCCUUGCAAUCCUAGCUCUCCAAGACAUUUACACAUGCUUGGAGGGCAAAGUCAUCAGUGGUCACACAAACUCAGGAAAUAGCAACCUAAAACCCCACCUGGAGAUAUACAGUGUACAUCAACACAGUAAAGGUUCUGAGAAGUCUCCCCUGUAAAUAAGGUACCUGCUUAAUUUUGUUUAAUGCUUGAAUAAACAACUACAUUUGUUCAGGGAAAGAUUGUUUUCCCGACCCACCUCUUAACAUCCUGGAACAAUUUCCCUUUAACACUCCUUUGGGAAGUACUACCCCAGAAACUUGGGCUGAAUUGGCCACACCUCCCUAGUCCUGAGUGUAGGAAUCUAAAAUAACAGUCCAGCACUGACUUCUUCCCUGAACUGCUUUUGGAGGUGAUGAUCAGAAAGUCAUUUGUUUGCCAUGGUAUUUGGGAACUAAAAGGGAGCUUGUACAGCCUACUUCAGGCAAAGACAAGAAGACAGAUGCCCUUAAAGGUUAAAUUGUUGUUUUAAAGCCCCAGGAACUUGUAGCAGACCAGUCUGGAGUUAAGUACAAGUGAUAAUGAUAACAGCUAACAUUUACCAAAUGUUUACUAUGCUCUAGGAGCUGCAUUAUAUUAUUUUACCUUCACAUAAACUAUGGAGUAGAUACUCAUGCUGGGUAUAUGGGGUAAAUACCUAUGAUGGUUAGAGUUGUGUGCCAACUCAGCUAGACUGUGGUACCCAGUUGUUUGGUCAAACAUCAGUCUAGAUGUUGCUGUGAAGGUAUUUUUUUAGAUGAGAUUAGCAGUUAAAUUAGCAGACUUUGAGUAAAGCAGCUCACACUCCAUGCUGUGUGUGGGCCUCGUCUGGUCAGUUGAAGGCCUUAAGAGCAAAGACUGAGGUUUCCUGAAGAAGAAGGAAUUCUCGUCAAGAUUGCGGCGUAGGAACCCUGCCUGAGCUUCUGCCUGCUGCUCUGUGGAACCUGCACCCAAGACUGCAACAUCAUCUUUUGUCUAAAUUUCCACCCUGCUGGCCUGCCCUACAGAUUGUAGACUUGAUAGCCCUGAUGAUCACAAGAGACAAUUCCUUAAAAUCUCUCUCUGUCUCUUUCUAACAUUCUGUUGGUUCUGGUUCUCUGCAGAACUCUGACUAAUACAAUACCUGCUCUGGAUAUGUGGAGUAAGAUACCCAUGCUAGGUAUUCCCUUUGCCCCUCCAGAUCUACUCUUUACUUCGCUGCACUCUGUCUGUGACCAUUAAUGCACAUCAACUGGCUUCCUUGCCCUGUUGUUUCCAGUUGGGUUGGGUUAGUGAGAGGUAGUGGCAGGAGGUCAGUGCAGGAGCAGAGUGAGGUUAGGGAGUCAAUUCUCUUGCCUCUCCCUGCCAAGCUGAAGGUUGGCAGUGGCUGUGCCCCUUUACCCAAGGCUGGAGCUUUCGUUCAGUGGCCUCCCCAACAGCUCUAGUUGUAGCAGCAGCUACAGCCUCAGCUCUCACUGGGUUCCUGUAACCACUCUCUCCUCUUGCUCUUUAGGCCUAGGUUGGUAAGAGCUCUCUGCUGUUGCUAGCCUUUUCCCAUCCUUAACUAUCUGCUUUAUUAUCCUCCAUAGUUUUUCCUUAAUCCUGUCCAUAUGUCAGUACAUCAUCCUCAAUUUCCCUGUUUGAAUGUGCCGUCUGUUUCCUGCCAAGACCCCGAGUAAUUCAAUACACUUUUUAUUCUUUUUGUACAUGAGGAAACUGAGGCCUAGAGAGGCAUAGAGAGGCUUGGUGACUUCUCCAGGGCAGGGAUUUAAGCCAAGGUCUCUGAUUCCCGUGGCGAUACUCACAGUCUAUACACAUCAAUUCAAUUACUGCUCACAUCAAUUACUUACUCUUUUGGAAUCAGUUUCCCCAUUUGCAAAAUGAGGUCAGUAACAUGACUCUUCAUAGAAUUCUAGUCAGCACUCAGUAAAUACUAGCUGUUGUUAUUAUUUGUGACAAAAAAUGGGCCUUGACAAAAAUAGAAUUCCCAGCUUACAGGGUCUUGGUAAGGACUAAUUGACUAAUAGGUGUCCUGCCCCAGCUCAGGGCCUGGCACACACCAGCACUCGAUAUAUGCCAUGAAACAGUAGUCACAUCUGUUGUUCUUUUCCUAUGGCACACCUUCCACGAACAUGGCUCUUAAAUUCUACGUGAGCACAAUUUUGAGUUGAGAGGCAGGUGAGACGCACUUUACAUAUGUUAUCUCAGGUAAACAUCAUAACAGAACUAAGAGGUGAGUUAUUCCAGCCCUACAGAUGAGGAAGCUGAGGACAAAGGAGUUAAAUACCUUACCUAAGGGCCACUGCUACCUCUGGUAGCAAGGGAUUGAGGAUUCAACCCAGGUAUAUCUGAUUCUAUAUUUAUUUGAGCUAAAGAAGACUUGUUAAUAGAGCUAAUUCAGUGGAUAAGCACGGAUAUGAUAGGUCCCACUGUUAAAAUACAGAAGUGUUUCCCCGUUGGUUGGUAGAGGGCUGCUGUCUCAAGGUCUCUUAGUCUAACCUUCUCACUCAUUCCCUUUCCCUCCGCCCCUGAGCCUGAGCCCCAAAGACAGGGCCUGUUCUAUCGGGUCUGGGCCCAUACCCAGCAGUUAUAAAUUUUUGGAAUAUCACUCCUGGAAACAAAUCCCGUAAAUGAAACUGGAGAAUCACAUCUCAGAGAAGUAAAGAAUAAGCUACGUCCAAACCUUGUAGAAGUCAAAGAAGAAAGAUGCCCUGGUGUAUUCAGAGCGUUGCAGAAGAGUCUCAUCAUUUCUGUGCCUCUGUCCUGUGGCUGAUUUACUUGAGGGGAGGAGCCCCAGAGGGAGCUUUGGGUUCCAAAGGUAUGGAGGGGUGGCAUUGUCUGUCCCAUCAUCUAGAAAGCCCAGUCCUGUUUCUGGGCCAUCCCUGCCUCAGCCUUGAUUGCACCUCUGUCCUGAACCCAAGGCCCCAUGGCCCUUUCAGGAUAACUCAGAGAGAAAACAGGUGUGCACACUGUGUGAGGUGGAGAAGGGGUUUCAGUGUCUUCCCUUCAGCGUCUUCCCCUUCUGGGUUUCAAGUCAGUUGGCCUGGGCUUCCACGUUUUACCUGAAAGAGGAAGAUUGGCAGCUUGCCAAGAGCCCAAGGACUGCUCCUAACCUCUGUGUUGCUGAGCUGGUAGCCAGCAGCCCUUGGUCAUCACCUUGCAGUCGCCCCUUCUCCCUUGGUGCAGUCCAUCUCUGAAGGAGGCUGGGCUUUGGGGCCUUUUUGUUUAAUGGCUGAGGGGGAGUUUGGAGAUUUGUAGGAGAAAGUCUACAGAACAGAUAGUGAAUUAGGAAACCCAAAGCCAGGGUUCAUGGCACAGAGGGCUGGGGCCAGUGGGAGAAGGAGGCUAAGGGAACAGCAGUCAUCGGGGGAUUUGAUGCUGGGGCAAUUUUGCUCUGUUUCCUUGCAGACCCUUCUGCAGUGUGUCAGGCUCUGUUCCUGCUGUGAGGAGCUGCCAAGGCCAGCCCUUGCCCUUUACAAAUCUCCCUUCUCAUUCUUUCUUUCAAAAUGGACGUGCCCUGGAUUAAUAAAGAUGUGCUGGAGAGCUUCCUCUCUCUGCCUGGCAUUCUGCUUUAAUAAUAAUACUACUCCUACACUUUAAUCUAAAAAGUAGAGAGGAAUUGAAAUAAAAAUCCACAAAGAAAAAGAAAACCUCCAUAACUUAAAGAGAUAGGGUAGGGGCAGAAGAAAGGACAAGAAGAUCCCUGGGUGAAAAUGGUGGCAUUUAAUCAGGGAUUAUACAGGAAGUGGGUGAGCAAUUCCAGAAUGACAAGAACCAACCUGAACCUCUAAUGGAACUUUUGUCAAGGUUUCCAAUACUCCAGUGUCCUUUAAAAAGUAUUUCCUUCUCUGCCCUUAUGUUUUUGUUAAGGUCCAUAGGUGAAAAUGAAAUAAUUGAAAGCGAGAUGCUGGCUCUAUUGACUUUUUUCAAAGGGAAAACAGGCCACAAGUUUCAUAGGAAAUCCUCUUGUGGAAUAAAUGGCCUCAAGAACAGGACUGGCACCAUAAUUUGCAGGGGCCAGAGCAAAAUGAAAACAUGGGGCCUCUUGUUCAAACUGGAAACUUGGAAUCCAAAGUGUAUGAAGUUAAUGAAGAAAAGCCAUCAUUGGAGGGAUUUUUCUAGGUUCCGGAGUGUGCUGUCAGGACAAGGCAGGGGUUAACGCCUGAGAGCAGUCUUCAAUCAAGGACGAGUGGAAUGGAGUUGGCGGGUACGUUCCCCAGCCUCCUCGCCCUUCGGUGGAUCAAAUUGAAGUGUCUGCAUGGUGGCCCAUGGGGUCUUCAGCAGGAUCAAGCCCAGUUACCCAGGGCGAUCAUCCACUUAUCAACAUCCUCUUUGUUGACUUUCUUCCCUUCCUCAUUUCGUUUCUUCGCUCCCUCUCCACGUUUCCUGGGAUCACCUUCCAAAUCCUUGCACCCAAAUCCUUUUCUCCGAGUCUGCUUUUAGGGGAACCCAAAUUAAAACACAGGCUUCCUCACUAUAAUUCUAACUCUUGGCUUGACGCACCUGCCACUGUUUAGAGCUUUAAAUCUAAUUUGACCAUCAUGAGAAAUUCUUCAUGAAUGGCAAUACUCUUUCACAAAUCAGCUAAUGUUAAGAAAGGAACAACCACACCGUAAGGAGAGAAGCAGCAUACUGUCUUAAAGAAAAUGUACUUAAAGGAAAAGCAAACCACGUGUCCUGAUGGUCAGCAGAGGAGAGGGAGAGAGGGAGAAAACCGAAUGACUGUGCUUACUGAUAUCUGCGCAAGAGAGCAGGAGUUCAGCUCUAGUGCGACUGUCUUAGUUGUGAGGUUAGGAGAACCGAAUGAGUGAAGGGGCAAGAACGCAGUUCUUUGACCCUCACUGCGGAAGCUUGCUGGAGGCGGGCCUGAAAGAGACAGAAAUGGGUGUGGGGAAGGACACAGCAGGGAGCAGGUGCUGCUCACCCAGCCCUCAAGUUUUGGAGUUAGUCUCCAAAUCUGGGGACGCGAUUCAAGCACUUAUGGAGCCCUUACUGUGUUGAUAGAUGUUGAGCACAGUGCUGGGCACUGCUUCCUGGGAGCCCAAGAGAACACUGGUCACAAACUCUGUCCACAAGGGACUCGCAGACUAGUAGAGGACAUAAGACAUGCCAAGACAUUUGCUGACCCACAGAAAUAGCAAUUUUAUAUGAUUUGCCAAUUAACGAAAAGGUAGUCCACCCAUCUGGCAGGCGCUGAUCCUGCUGGAUCAGCAGGGACCUCUGCCUGUCCGAGGCCAAAAUAACUGUCCACAAAAAUAGCUGCCUACUAGACUCUAACAAUAUUAAGGGCGGGACUGUAUUUUCUAAAUCUUUGUACGGCCUGCAAGGCAUUGCUUUGAAUAUAGUAGGUGGUCAUGGAUGAGUGGUGUCUGCAUAACCCAAGCAAGAAUCUCAUUUUAUAAUACGAAAUUUUAUGAAAAGGCAGAAAAGGCAGAAACCCAUUGUGGCUGGGCUAAUAUGGGAAGGCUUCCUGGAAGAGGUGGCUUUGGAGCUGAGUCACAGUUUCAAAGUAAAAACACCCAACUAAAACGGACUCUUGAAUUUUCCUUUGCUUGUCAGCAGAGGUCUGGCUCCAGUCUGGAGAUAUGUCCGUCCUUCCGUCAUUCCUUUGUAUCCAACGGAUGCAUAUUCAACUUUGACUUUUUAAAUUUUUUAAAUGGUUUGCUAUUAAAACAUUCUAAUUUGGAGCCUUUUUUUCUCUUGAUGUCAAUAGAAGGAUAUUAUUUCACUGCUUUUACUGGAGCUGCGGGACAAUUGUUAGUUUAUUCUGCAUUGCUGCUCAGAGAUACACUUACAAACACAAGGAUACAUGUGAAGAUGGGAAACAAAGCGAUGGGAAAAUGCACCCUAUUUAGGAAAGCCAAGCCUCCCAAAGAGAAAACUAGAGGCUGCCAGGCAGGUCUGUGUUUUAACUUGUGGUCCUUCUUGCUCCCAGGUUGCAGUCACCUAACUCCUGCACACCCCCUCUCCCUUUUCCUCUGCCAGGAGUCUCAGCAGUGCCCUCAGUAGGUGCUCUGUGUAUGGCAAGGGAAACAGCAAGGGUUUCUGUGGAAGACCUUUACUUGGGGAAACCC